GACAGAGGGUGCAAACGUUGCUCGGAAUUACUGGGCGUAAAGGGCUCGUAGGCGGCCAACUAAGUCAGACGUGAAAUCCCUCGGCUUAACCGGGGAACUGCAUCUGAUACUGGAUGGCUUGAGUUCGGGAGAGGGAUGCGGAAUUCCAGGUGUAGCGGUGAAAUGCGUAGAUAUCGGGAGGAACACCAGUGGCGAAGGCGGCUGCCUGGGCCAGUUCUGACGCUGAGGCGCGAAAGCGUGGGGAGCAAACAGG
rnacentral:rRNA from 1 species